GGAUAUGAUUGCUUGACUAAUAUCUUCAGAAAUUCUAGUGUGAAAUUUGUUCAAGUGUCAUUGUUCUUAGAGUACAGUGCAUCUGGAAAGUAAGGCAAAUAUUUGCUGACAGAUUCUGAUGACCAUAUAUUUGUUUGUUUGAGAAUACAACAUGCAGGAGAUGAUCAUAUAUUCAACCACUGUUGUCCUUAAUAGGAUAUGCUGAAUUGCAGAUAAUGGCUGUUCACUAAUUUGGGUGGCUGCUUCUUUGCACAUGUGCCAGUCACUGGACAUGUCCAAUUUCAGUGCAAGUAGUUAACUUCUGUGUUUUCCUCUAUCACUGGCCUUUUAUGAUGGAAAUAGCGGUGAAAGCAAAUCUGAGGUCCGGAUCUUGAAUCUUGAUCCAGUUUUGACACAGCCACGCAGGGCAUGCUUGAUGCACGUGAAGAGAUCACUGGCUGCUGGUGCUGAGUCACGCAGGCAAGUGAAAAACAAAAGGCCGGCAGUGCUGAUGAAUUGAAGAUCCCUAGGCACCAUCUUAUUAUUACUGCAACUGGUAGUGGCUGGCAGGUGAGUGGUGACUACUCGUGUCACGUGCUUGUCACAUGUGUUUGGAAGCCAUGUAGUUUUGGCUACUAAUUAGCCAACAGCUUAAUUUUUAGGUCAAGUUGGACUACUGGAGGAUCAAAUUUCUGGGGAUUGCUUACAUGACAGUAUCUUGGUCUUAUGGUCUUGAUCUUGACAGUCAAGAAAGGGACAAUUUUUUUGUGCAGGAAAAGUGCACCAGUAUUAUGCUCCUAUGAUCUGAUUUGAUAGAUGAUCAGAUUCAAUUUUUUCUUCCUUUAUUUUUUU
rnacentral:lncRNA from 1 species